CCUACGGGUGGCAGCAGUGGGGGAUAUUGCACAAUGGGGGAAACGCUGAUGCAGCGACGCCGCGUGAGUGAAGAAGUAGUUCGGUAUGUAAAGCUCUAUCAGCAGGGAAGAAAAAAGACGGUACCUGACUAAGACGACCCGGCUAACGACGGGCCAGCGGCCGCGGUAAUACGUAGGGGGCAAGCGUUAUCCGGGUUUACUGGGGGUAAAGGGCGAGUAGACGGCAAUACAAGUCGGAAGUGAAAUACCCGGGCUCAACCUGGGAAUUGCGUUGGAGACUGUAUGGCUUGAGUGCGGGAGAGGUAAGCGGAAUUCGUAGUGUAGCGGUGAAAUGCGUAGAUAUUAGGAGGAACACCAGUGGCGAAGGCGGCUUACUGGACAGUAACUGACGUUGAGGCUCGAAAGCGUGGGGAUCAAACAGGAUUAGAUACCCGAGUAGUC
rnacentral:rRNA from 1 species